rnacentral:rRNA from 1 species
UACGAAGGGGGCUAGCGUUGUUCGGAAUUACUGGGCGUAAAGCGCGCGCAGGCGGUCUUCCAAGUCAGUGGUGAAAGCCCGGAGCUCAACUCCGGAAUUGCCAUUGAAACUGUUUAGCUUGAGGAUGAGAGAGGUGAGUGGAAUUCCCAGUGUAGAGGUGAAAUUCGUAGAUAUUGGGAAGAACACCGGUGGCGAAGGCGGCUCACUGGCUCAUUACUGACGCUCAGGCGCGAUAGCGUGGGGAUCAAACAGG